rnacentral:rRNA from 1 species
UACGGAGGGGGCGAGCGUUAUUCGGAAUUAUUGGGCGUAGAGGGCGCGUAGGCGGCCCUGUAAGUCAAAGGUGAAGUCCCUCGGCUCAACUGAGGAACUGCCUUUGAAACUGCAGGGCUUGAGGCCGGGAGGGGGUAGCGGAAUUCCCAAUGUAGCGGUGAAAUGCGUAGAUAUUGGGAGGAACACCAGUGGCGAAGGCGGCUACCUGGACCGGUUCUGACGCUGAGGCGCGAAAGCGUGGGUAGCAAACAGG